rnacentral:miRNA from 1 species
GCACACUGGUUUCUCUCUUUCUUUCUUUCUUUCUUUCUUUCUUUCUCUUUCUUUCUUUCUUUCUUUCGAAGAGAGAGAGAGAGAGAGAGAGAGAGAGAGAGAGAGAGAGAGAGAGAGAAUCUUUUU